AUGCCCGGGAAGAAGAACGCGGAGCCGGCGCCCGCCGCCGUCCCGCCCCAGCCCGCGCCGAUGCCGCCUGUGAAGGUGUUCAGGUUGAACGAUGGCGGUGGGUGGGACGACUACGGCGCCGGCCGUGUCACCAUCGACCACCUCGAGGGAUCGACAUCGGAGAAGGAGAUCGUUCUGGCUGUCAUAGACGUGGAGAACAAGGAGACGAUGCUUUUGCAUCUCAUCACCCCGGAUGACAUUUACAGGAGGCGCCAAGGGACGUUCAUCUCGUGGUUCGAUCCCGAGACCGGCUUGUCCAUCUCCUUGAGCUUCCUAGACGCGGCGGCGUGCUCCGAUAUGUGGGACACGAUCUGCCAAGUGCAGAGAAAACUGAGGCCUGAUGGUUGGUAG
rnacentral:rRNA from 1 species